rnacentral:rRNA from 1 species
UACGAAGGGUGCAAGCGUUAAUCGGAAUUACUGGGCGUAAAGCGUGCGCAGGCGGUUUUGUAAGACUGUCGUGAAAUCCCCGGGCUCAACCUGGGAAUGGCGAUGGUGACUGCAAGGCUAGAGUUUGGCAGAGGGGGGUAGAAUUCCACGUGUAGCAGUGAAAUGCAUAGAUAUGUGGAGGAACACCGAUGGCGAAGGCAGCCCCCUGGGUCAAAACUGACGCUCAUGCACGAAAGCGUGGGGAGCAAACAGG